GAACGCACAUUGCGCCCGCCAGCAUUCUGGCGGGCAUGCCUGUUCGAGCGUCAUUUCAACCCUCGAGCUCGUCUUCAUUGACGAGAUCGGUGUUGGGGAACGGCAAAGCGGGACACAGUCCGGCGCCGACCCCGAAAUUCAGUGGCGGCCCGUUGCGGCGACCUCUGCGUAGUAACUUAACCUCGCACUGGAAGAGCAGCGUGGCCACGCCGUAAAACCCCCGACUUUUUUAAGGUUGACCUCGAAUCAGGUAGGACUACCCGCUGAACUUAAG
rnacentral:misc_RNA from 1 species